CUGACAUACACACUGACUGGACAGAGACAACUGGCUUUUACAAUGGUCCGAACAAAACAGUUGUUUGGUUUUCUCAUCCUGACUAUCUUCCUGGCUGGUGCUGAUGGUCAAACACUGACUGAGUCUGAAUCAGUGGUGAAAAGACCUGGAGAAUCACACAGACUGACCUGCACAUAUUCAGGGUUCGGUGGCAAUAUUGAUACAUCUUGGAUCAGACAGGCAUCUGGAAAAGGACUGGAGUGGAUCGCUUACAUCAGUAGUGGCAGUGUUAGCAUUUACUAUUCCCAGUCAGUCCAAGGCCGUUUAACCGUCUCCAGAGACAACAGCAGAAAUCAGGUGUAUCUGCAGAUGAACAGCCUGAAGACUGAAGACUCUGCUGUUUAUUAUUGUGCACGAAAGCCACAGUGACUGAAGUUGGUGGA